CUUUAUUGAAACUUCCUCCCUGUCGCACACAAAGCAAUUACACAAGGGGGUAUUGCCAGGGAGCUCUUGCAGAGCCUUCUCCCUCUGUACCCCCCGACAGUCCCCAGAGACCCUGCCUCCGUGGCCUCCACCUCUGGGUCAGCUCCCUGGAGGACCCCGACACACAGGGAAGCAGGCACAGGAGGGCUGUUGGGGCCAAACCUCCCCAGCUGCCACAACCGCCAUGACCCCAGUGGCAGGGUCAGUGCCCACAAGGGGGUUGCCUGCUUUGACUGAACUAACCUGUGGGUUUAGUCCAACGAACAGAUGUGCCUGAUUUCAGGGCUGAAUUUUUGCUUGACCACAAGCCUCGGGCAGAACAGAUUCGCCUAUGACUGAAUCGACUGAAUGGAUGGCCAGCGACAGCCUGGCCUGGGAAUGGACUGGCAGCUCAUCACUAAAAUGACUCCUUUCAUGGAAUCCACUGUUAUGCAGCCACACUGACCACAGAGCAACUGAAUAGGUGAGCAUUGGAUUGUUGAUGACAACUCUUCAGCAGAACAAUUGUGUGUUUGAAGGGACUGUUUUAUGAUGAAAUAACUGUUAUUUCCUGGAGCUAAUUGUUGAAUGACAGUUUGUCAACUGUUUAAAUGAAUUUCAUUUGAAUUAACAAUUAUACAGCCACUCAGAGGUCCUACAUUCGCCAGAGUUGGCAUCCAGUUGAUGGGUUCAUUUGAAUUAAAUGGUUUGGAGGCUAACGUGAUUUUUUAAAUUGAAUUUCAUCACUAUUCUGUGUAUUCUAUUUAUCACUAUUCUAAAUGACUCAUGGUUGGCUAAUUGAUUAUCAUGUAAGCAAGCUAUUUGAAGAAAUUGAUUACAUAUAUUUAUAUAUAGGG
rnacentral:lncRNA from 1 species